GAAAGGCCCUGCUUGCAGGGUACUCGAGUGGCGAACGGGUGAGUAACACGUGGGUGAUCUGCCCUGCACUUCGGGAUAAGCCUGGGAAACUGGGUCUAAUACCGGAUAGGAGCCAUUUUUAGUGUGAUGGUUGGAAAGUUUUUUCGGUGUAGGAUGAGCUCGCGGCCUAUCAGCCUUGUUGGUGGGGUAAUGGCCUGCCAAGGCGGCGACGGGUAGCCGGCCUGAGAGGGUGGACGGCCACAUUGGGACUGAGAUACGGCCCAGACUCCUACGGGAGGCAGCAGUGGGGAAUAUUGCACAAUGGGCGCAAGCCUGAUGCAGCGACGCCGCGUGGGGGAUGACGGCCUUCGGGUUGUAAACUCCUUUCGCUAGGGACGAAGCUUUUUGUGACGGUACCUAGAUAAGAAGCACCGGCUAACUACGUGCCAGCAGCCGCGGUAAUACGUAGGGUGCGAGCGUUGUCCGGAAUUACUGGGCGUAAAGGGCUCGUAGGUGGUUUGUCGCGUCGUCUGUGAAAUUCCGGGGCUUAACUCCGGGCGUGCGGGCGAUACGGGCAUAACUUGAGUACUGUAGGGGUAACUGGAAUUCCUGGUGUAGCGGUGAAAUGCGCAGAUAUCAGGAGGAACACCGAUGGCGAAGGCAGGUUACUGGGCAGUUACUGACGCUGAGGAGCGAAAGCAUGGG
rnacentral:rRNA from 1 species